rnacentral:lncRNA from 1 species
CAACGCGACCCGGCCCCGGGGCCCCGCGCCCGCCUCCCGGAAGCCUGCCCCGACCCGGUGCGGCUUCUCAUCAUUUAAAAAAAAAUUCUCUUUUUUAACUUAUCCGUGGAAAAGCAACCCGUGCCUGUAAAACUUGCAACAGCUUCAACCAGGAAAGUGACUGCAACUGAUUGAAAAACAUGAAAUAGACAUAUAUGUAAUCUCCCUGAAUGUAUUAUAAUGGUACCCCAAAAUUCGCCCUCGUGGGCAUCAGCUCAUUCAUCCUGAAAAUUUUAAAUAACAAGAAAGCAUCAGGCAUCCUCCUGCCCUUCCUGAAUGAACUGUAUUUCAGAGCCCCAAAAUAGUUGGGGAGGGACUUUCUUUUACAAAGUCCAGCUAAUACAUGAGGAUGAAUGAGAGAAUCCGAAAAUUAUUUGGCACCCCUCAAUAGAAUGAUGGAUUCACGCGAUGAUCAUCAGAAAUGGGUACAACCAAGAGGGGAGGGUUUGGCGGGGAACUUGAAAAUGGAGGGGCUAAGCCGCGAAGUCCCGGUCCCGCCAAUCGAUCUUAGUGCCAGGAAGUACCAGCGCCACCUGCGAUGGAUUCUUGCCAAGACAAGUUGAGCAUGAACCUGAUGGGGCCUCUAGAUCAAACCUACAGUUUACAGGAAAUAUGGCAGAUAAGGAAAACUUAGAAGCAGCAGAAGCAACCAACCAACUCCAGCAUGUGGGGCAUUCUACCAAACAAACGACCCAGUUUGUUCAAUAAAUAAUUGGUAUAAAAGGUCGGGUGCGGUGGUUAACGCCUGUGAUUCCAGCACUUUGGGAGGCUGAGGCGGGUGACCUGAGGUCGGGAGUUCGAGACCAGCUUGACCAACAUGGAGAAAUCCCUCCGUCUCUACUAAAAAUACAAAAUGAGGCCAGGCGCCGUGGCUCACGCCUGUAAUCCCAGCACUUUGGGAGGCCGAGGCGGGCGGAUCACAAGACAAGGACACGUUGAAGGGAGUUGAUGCAAGCAACGCGCUCGUUCUACCGGGGAAGAAGAAAAAG